AGGGUUGUAGUUAAUAAUAACAUUUGAUUUGCACUCAAAAAGUACUAUAAUGUAGUCUUCCUUA
rnacentral:tRNA from 1 species